CCUACGGGGGGCAGCAGUGAGGAAUAUUGGUCAAUGGACGAGAGUCUGAACCAGCCAAGUAGCGUGAAGGAUGACUGCCCUAUGGGUUGUAAACUUCUUUUAUAUGGGAAUAAAAUGUUCCACGUGUGGGACUUUGUAUGUACCAUAUGAAUAAGGAUCGGCUAACUCCGUGCCAGCGGCCGCGGUAAUACGGAGGAUCCGAGCGUUAUCCGGAUUUAUUGGGUUUAUAGGGAGCGUAGGUGGAUUGUUAAGUCAGUUGUGAAAGUUUGCGGCUCAACCGUAAAAUUGCAGUUGAAACUGGCAGUCUUGAGUACAGUAGGGGUGGCCGGAAUUCGUGGUGUAGCGGUGAAAUGCUUAGAUAUCACGAAGAACUCCGAUUGCGAAGGCAGGUCACUGGACUGCAACUGACACUGAGGCUCGAAAGUGUGGGUAUCAAACAGGAUUAGAUACCCGGGUAGUC
rnacentral:rRNA from 1 species